AGAAUCACAUGUUUGCUUAUCACUUCCUUAAAGUCUAUGUGUGAAGUAUUGUCCUGCAAUGUUAAUAAUGCUGUUUUCUUUGUUAUCUACAAAUCAUCACAAAACUGUAAUAACUGUUCAACAGUUUUUUAAAAAAAUUAAUGAAAUAUAAGCUAUACACCCAAAGUUGAAUAAUAUCUGCAAACAGAUCUUGAAAAUAGCAUAAAAUAUUUUGAGCUUUUUAUACUUAUAUAUUUGUAUUUUUAAUAUUUGAAGAAAAACUUUGAGAAUCAUCUUAAUAACUUUAUUAUAUUUUAUGUUUCAAUCCAUCCUAGCCUCUUAUCUUUGCUCCUGAUCUCACAGGCCUAUAUUAUAGGAUAGAAAGUCUUUGUUCAGUGUUUUUCUUUGGUCGUUUAAUUUUUUAAAUAUAGAAAUGUAUAUUUUCUUUUUUUUAGGGGCUGCUUUCUUACCUCAUCAUUGAUAGGCACACUUGCACUAAGCCUUACAAUACCUCUGUCCAUAAUAGCUGACAUGUGUAUGCAAAAGGUGCAGUUUUCUUGGUUAUUUUUUGCAGGAGCUAUCCCUGUAUUUUUUUCAUUUUUUAUUGUAACUCUCCUAUGCCAUUAUAAUAAUUGGGAUCCUGUGAUGUUGGGAAUCAGAAGAAUAUUUGCUUUUAUAUGCAGAAAACAUCGAAUUCAGAGAGUUCCAGAAGACAGCGAACAGUGUGAGAGUCUCAUCUCUAUGCACAGUGUUUCUCAGGAGGAUGGAGCUAGUUAGCUGUUUGUUGUCUGUAGCCCAGCUUGAUAAUGGAACUAUACAGCUAAGAGACAAUCUCUGGCAAGUUUUUGUAGAAAAAAUGUUUCAGUGCCUAGUCUGAAAAAUAACAGUUUCAGUUCUUUGAAACUCUAAAAUAUAUUUUUCUCAUACCUGUUUUCUUCAUUUUCAUAAUGAAGCACUUUGCUAUGUAGCUGUGUACAUAUCACUACAGUUAUAGGAAGUUUCAGUCUACAGUCCAUCCAAAGGACCAACCUGCCUUACACAUCUCAAGGAAUUCAGCUGUUGAAAUCAUUUGAACUAAUCAAGGAAUAAAUCCUAAUGUUCUGGGACUUUAUUUUCACAUGUUAAAUGCUGGAAUAUAUUAUGAAAAUGUUUUCAAGAAAUCACUUAAGUGUUCAUAUUUCUUAAGUAUUUCUUAAGUAUUUCUUAAGUAUUUCUUAAGUAUUUCUUAAGUAUUUCUGACAGGUAAAAUGCUAAAAUAAGCUACCUGUAAUAAGUGUGGAUUAUAUUUUUGGGUUUUGUAGAAUAUUGCAAAUUAACUACACAAAAAAUGUUUAAUUUAUACAACAAGCAUGUUUGUGCAAAUUUCAUGGGACUUUAAAAAGAAUAAGUAUUUGAGAAAAUAUCUGGUUCACUUACACUACAUUUACUGUAUUAUUCUUUUAUAGCAUUAGGUGCCUUGUAUUUUAAAUCUGUGAAAAACCGUGGCAAAUUUUUAAAGGGGAAGUAUUAUUAUAAAAUGAAGAAAUAUGUAUUUCUAAAGGCUAUAUUGCUGUAAACUUAAUUGAUAAAGCUCUGUUUAACUUAGAGUUUUGAAGAAAUAGUCUCCCUUCAAUUAAGAAAUUUUCAUAAUGGAAUGAUUUAAAUUGAAGUGACAAAGAGUAUUAUUAAAAUACAAUGUUUAUACGUGUAUUUGUGUAUUGUAGAUGUAUCAAGUGAUUUCUAAUUUUUUUCACAUAUGAAUGUGCCAGAUUACUCUAGAACUAGAUUUCUCUUCUUUAAAUAAUUUUAGUUUUCCUGAAUAAAUUUGUAAUGGUUAAAGUACCAAGUAAGUAAGGCGAGAAGGGAUUCUGUUUUUAAAAUCACAUCAGAACUUUUCCUCUACUAAGAUUAUAAAUUAAAUGUAAAAUACUCCUAAUUGCAAUUCUUAAACUUAGGCCUUACAUGUACUUAUUAUGCAACUGCUCCUGGACUCUAUUCACCAUAGAUAUCAGUAAACGUAUGUCCCAGGAUUCACAGGCUUUUGAUUAAUCAAUAUUCUUUUCAAGUUUUCUGUGUGAAGAGUUUAGUUCUCUUCAAAAUUUCUUAACUAAUCUGAUUUUUAAGAAUUCUCUUUGCAGUGUUUAGCUUCCUAUUCACAUUCUUAAAAUUGCUUUGGUGUUACCAUGAGUCUAAAAUGAAGUUUAGCCUUCCUUUUGUUUCAUUCUGAGAACUUCUAUAUUAUAUUACCUUUAAAAAUUGUUUAUGAUAUUAAAUUUAAAAUACAAACA